rnacentral:rRNA from 1 species
UGGGGAAUAUUGCACAAUGGGCGCAAGCCUGAUGCAGCCAUGCCGCGUGUGUGAAUAAGGCCUUCGGGUUGUAAAGCACUUUCAGCGGGGAGGAAGGCGGUGAGGUUAAUAACCUCAUCGAUUGACGUUACCCGCAGAAGAAGCACCGGCUAACUCCGUGCUAGCAGCCGCGGCAAUACGGAGGGUGCAAGCGUUAAUCGGAAUUACUGGGCGUAAAGCGCACGCAGGCGGUCUGUCAAGUCGGAUGUGAAAUCCCCGGGCUCAACCUGGGAACUGCAUUCGAAACUGGCAGGCUAGAGUCUUGUAGAGGGGGGUAGAAUUCCAGGUGUAGCGGUGAAAUGCGUAGAGAUCUGGAGGAAUACCGGUGGCGAAGGCGGCCCCCUGGACAAAGACUGACGCUCAGGUGCGAAAGCGUGAGGAGCAAACAGG